CUCCUCUCUUGUCUUUUGUGGAUGUGUGUCUUUGUGAUGUGUGUGUAGCAUCUGUGUGCAGUGCCUAGCAUGUGGAGGUUGCAGGAUAACCCUAUGAAGUCAUUCUCUCUGCCCACAUUGAAGGACACGGGGAUGGAUUCUGCUGCUCACUCCUUUGAAUGUUUCUGCAGGUGGAGUAUAUGGUGGACACGAAACAGUGCCAGCAUUUACUGGAGAAGUUUGUGACUGCUCUGGCAAGUGGGAGCCUUGGCCUUGACCCACACACGUUCUGUUCUCCUGCCUUGGAUGCCAGUCAGGACAAAAAAAAAAACCUUCUGUCUCUCAGAAUUGCCUUGGUUGUUGAUUUGGGGAAUGUCAAACCUCUUGCCUUAGUCCUCUGUCUUUAGAUCUUGUUGAAUCCUAGCAUCCUAGUUCAUGGCCCCUGAGCUUUAUGCCUAGGUCAUUUUACCAGGACUUUGUGUCCCUGUAACAGUUAGUAUGGAACAUCUGAGGACAUGACUACCUACAUGGUCGUACUCAAGAGCCCAAGGGUGGUCUUGUUAACCUGUGAGGAGAGCAAGCCAGCAACAUUAAUCUCAGAAUGAAAUCUCAGAACAGGCCCUGCCACUCAGUGGUCCCUGAGCCUGGAAGCUCCUGACUCCACUGCCCAAACUUCUCAGUUUAUUCUGUGUUGGGACCUUUCCCUUCCUUCCUUGGUAGCAUCAACAGAAGCUUGUAGAAACCUGAGUCCAGAAAGCCAGGGGAUGGAUUUCAGGGUGAUCAUGACUCAUGUUGGCUCUCCUGGCUUCUGUCCCUGCGUUCACCACUAAGCACACCACAUCUCUCCAUAGGUCGUGUCUGCUCCUGUACCCUGAGCUCAGUGUGAGGGUUUGGAGCAAAUAGGAAAUGAAUGGAAUACAGGCUGUGAAUUCUAUGAGAAAGCCUGAGUCAGGCGCCUGAGGCCCUGGAACACCGCCAUCCUGUUGGAGAAGGAGUACUCUCUGAUGGCACAAAGACAAGGAGAUGGCUCUUGGCAUGAGCCCCUCAGAGCUUCACUAUGAAAUGUUAACCGGGGAUCGGACUGCCCUUCCCGUGGUCUUUCUUCGGGCUCGCCUUAGCGCUGAAGAUCGCCAUGGACAUCAUCUUUUAGAUGCAGGCCAGCUAAACAGCCCCCACCAGGUGCUUCCCGACACUUAGACAUUCCACCUGAGUACUUUCCCAUGGUGACAUUUCCUCUCACGGAGCAUUGACCCUCCUGAUUGUGUGGUGCCAUGUGUGACAGGUAACUUCUAGACUCUACACAGCAGGCGAUAUC